AAGCUGCCCAAAUCCCAUAACAGAAGCUUAUGGUUCAAAGAUUCCUGACUCUUUGCUGUAUCAAAUAAGGUUUGACAUUGCAGGAUCGUACAUGGUAUGUUGGCAGACAUUCAUUCAUGCAAUCCAGACUCCCUGAAUGCUGUGUGCAGAAUGGAAUGGAGAGGCUUCCUCCAGCUUCUUUAUCUUUCCAGUUUACAAUCUUCUUUCCUGCCUUCACUCUGACGAACCACGUCCUCUGAUGAACACAGCCUCUCAGAUAGUAAUUUCAGAUAAAUUGUGAGUUCCUGGUGGGAACAUUCCCUUAGGCAGAAGAACCACAUUGACUGAAUUCACCAAAGGAAAUUGAGAGUUCUGUCAUUUUUUCAAAGUCACAUUAGAAAAGACCUCAUUUUCAUUUAAUUAGGGAUCUUUCCCCACCUGCUGUGAAAUAUUAUUAUGGUGCUUAAUUUCAUCUUCACCAAUUUUUAUGUUUUUCAUUCUUUCAAAGAUCUAAGCAAGCUGAGCUUGAGGAAAACUCUACUUUGAGUUGUGUUAUCUACUGCAGGACCGAUUUCUGCCCUGGAGACCAGCCCCACCCCAGGAGCUCAGAACACAGCCAAGCACCCUUCGGAUUCAGGCUCCAAAUCUCAGAGGAUCAGACUAAAAAUGACUGGCUCUGAGGACUGCGAGACGCUCCCUUAUCGACCUGCAAGUGACCACUGCCAGGAAACACCACCCACAGAGUGGGGGUGAGGCUCAUGGCCAGACUAAGCUGGGCUGGGGUUGCCAGACCCCUGCCAGCCAGAGCUGCAGAGGUGAUGCUUCAGAGAGCAUUGGCUCUGAAGGCAGUGCUCAUCCCUCUCCAUCUGCUGAAACCAGCUGGCAAAGGAGAGAAGGAAUUUAGCACUGUAGAGUCUGGCUAUCCAGAAAGGCAAGAGGGAAAAAAAACCACAGAGACAGAAAUAAAGAGUGAUCAGUAAUCAUGCCUUUAAUAGCUUGUAAAUAUUUUUUUUUUUUAAUUCCAGGCAACUAAGAUGUACAUUUGUUGUAUCUGACAUCUGAAAAAAAAAAAAAAUGAGACCACAAUCUGUUCUGUUUCUUCCCUUUUCUAAAGCACAUAAAUUAAAGUGUCAGUUACCUCAAUACACAACAGUUCAAUGAAAGAAAGGGGCUAAGGGGCUUGUUCUGUUUUUACAAUUCAGUGUCACCUGUUAUCUGAAGCAUUAGCUAGAGUUAUAGCUAGACAACUUUCUUACAGCAAAUAGGAAAACUCAGAACUUAGGCUGUCCAGAAAAAUUCAAGAAAUUUCCACUCCCUGCUCUCAAACUCCACUUCCUAAUAAAGCAUCAGAGUAACAUUUUCCUGUUAGAAAACAAAAGACCCCCAAAAACUUUUCAAACACACCAGGGAAACACUGUCUGUACCAUAGAAUUUAAUAAACUCAAAACAUUAUUGGUGCAACAACCUCCUCUUCUACAACUUUAACACAGAACCUGAAUUCAUGUUAGGAUGAGCAAGGACAGAAAAUGCCAGACUAUGGGUGGCCUUUGGUGCCUGGGGCUGCCCAGUGGCCUCCUGGGCAGAUCUGGCUGAGGCCUUUUCAUGAUUCCCUUGCUGAACUCAGCUCAACCUCACCUUGCACAGCCAGGACUGGAAUUCAGAUGCAAGGACACUAAGGACCCUCCCCUUACGCUGGUGCUGAGGCUAAGCCCUUAUCACAAUUCAGCCAAGUAGCUCUGGCUACCACCCAAUAUUCUAUGGAUGGUUUCCAUAGGUGGGGGAUCACUCUAUCAGCAAUACAGCAAGGCCUUUGAUGGGGGGGUUGCCCUUGCCUUUUCCCAUUACAGGGCAUGUGAGCACCACAUGCGUACGUGGGGCUGCUCCUCAUGGGACUGCUUGGGAGCUGGUAGGAAAAACCUGUGCUCUAGCACAAGAUAGAUCACACACAGAGAAACAGGAGUUAGGCAGAAACAGCUCGGAUGGCUGACGUAUCCAUCCGUUCCCUAGCACU